rnacentral:rRNA from 1 species
AUGAGUGCUAAAUGUGAGGAUUUUAUCUUUGUAUUGUAGCUAACGCGUUAAGCACUCCGCCUGGGGACUACGGUCGCAAGACUAAAACUCAAAGGAAUUGACGGGGACCCGCACAAGCGGUGGAGCAUGUGGUUUAAUUCGAUGCUACGCGAAAAACCUUACCACUUUUUGACAUGAAGGUCGUAUCCCUCCUAACAGGGGGAGUCAGUUCGGCUGGACCUUACACAGGUGCUGCAUGGUUGUCGUCAGCUCGUGUCGUGAGAUGUUGGGUUAAGUCCCGCAACGAGCGCAACCCUCAUUCUUAGUUACCAACAGGUAAUGCUGGGCACUCUAAGGAAACUGCCAGUGAUAAACUGGAGGAAGGUGGGGAUGAUGUCAAAUCAGCACGGCCCUUAUAGGGUGGGCUACACACGUGCUACAAUGGCAACUACAAUAGGUUGCGAGACCGCAAGGUUUAGCUAAUCCAUAAAAGUUGUCUCAGUUCGGAUUGUUCUCUGAAACUCGAGAGCAUGAAGUCGGAAUCGCUAGUAAUCGUGGAUCAUCACGCCACGGUGAAUACGUUCUCGGGUCUUGUACACACUGCCCGUCACGCCAUGGGAAUUGGCUUAACUCGAAGCUGGUGUGCUAACCGCAAGGAAGCAGCCAUUUAAG